AUAGGUUUUAUGUUGUUUUUGCUGCUCAUUUAUUUUGUGAUUUUCUUUCAAGUAUUACAUGAAUGUACAUGAAAAACUUC